GACCUACGGGACGCAGCAGUGGGGAAUAUUGCACAAUGGGGGAAACCCUGAUGCAGCAACGCCGCGUGAGUGAAGAAGUCAUUCGUGAUGUAAAGCUCUAUCAGCAGGGAAGAAAAUGACGGUACCUGAGUAAGAAGCCCCGGCUAACUACGUGCCAGCAGCCGCGGUAAUACGUAGGGGGCAAGCGUUAUCCGGAUUUACUGGGUGUAAAGGGAGCGUAGGCGGCCAUGCAAGUCAGAAGUGAAAACCCGGGGCUCAACCCUGGGAGUGCUUUUGAAACUGUGCGGCUAGAGUGUCGGAGGGGG
rnacentral:rRNA from 1 species